rnacentral:ncRNA from 1 species
UUAAUAAAGAGUUUGAUCCUGGCUCAGGACGAACGCUGGCGGCACGCUUAACACAUGCAAGUCGAACGGAGAUAUUUUGAGUUUACUUAGGAUAUCUUAGUGGCGGACGGGUGAGUAACACGUGAGCAACCUGCCUUGGAGAGAGGGAUAGCUUCUGGAAACGGAUGGUAAUACCUCAUAACAUACAGAGACCGCAUGAUUUCUGUAUCAAAGAUUUAUCACUCUGAGAUGGGCUCGCGUCUGAUUAGCUAGAUGGUGAGGUAACGGCCCACCAUGGCGACGAUCAGUAGCCGGACUGAGAGGUUGAACGGCCACAUUGGGACUGAGACACGG